rnacentral:rRNA from 1 species
CGGGAAUCUUCCGCAAUGGGCGAAAGCCUGACGGAGCAACGCCGCGUGAGCGAGGAAGGCCUUCGGGUCGUAAAGCUCUGUUGUGAGGGAAGAAAGAGUGCAGGAGUAACUGUCUGCACGUUGACGGUACCUCACGAGGAAGCCCCGGCUAACUACGUGCCAGCAGCCGCGGUAAUACGUAGGGGGCGAGCGUUGUCCGGAAUUAUUGGGCGUAAAGCGCGCGCAGGCGGUCCACUAAGUCUGAUGUGAAAGCCCCCGGCUUAACCGGGGAGGGUCAUUGGAAACUGGUGGACUUGAGUGCAGGAGAGGAGAGUGGAAUUCCACGUGUAGCGGUGAAAUGCGUAGAGAUGUGGAGGAACACCAGUGGCGAAGGCGGCUCUCUGGCCUGUAACUGACGCUGAGGCGCGAAAGCGUGGGGAGCAAAC